UACGUAGGGUGCGAGCGUUAAUCGGAAUUACUGGGCGUAAAGCGUGCGCAGGCGGUUUUGUAAGUCUGUUGUGAAAGCCCCGGGCUCAACCUGGGAAUUGCGAUGGAGACUGCAAGGCUUGAAUCCGGCAGAGGGGGGUAGAAUUCCACGUGUAGCAGUGAAAUGCGUAGAGAUGUGGAGGAACACCGAUGGCGAAGGCAGCCCCCUGGGUCAAGAUUGACGCUCAUGCACGAAAGCGUGGGGAGCAAACAGG
rnacentral:rRNA from 1 species